CAUUAUUCUUCUCUCCCUUCUCCUCCUCCUUCUUCUUCUUCUUCUUCUCUUUCUAAAGUGCACACUUUCAGUUAAAUCUAUAUGGAUUCACACUGCCACCACCUAGAACAUGUUUCUUACUUGGGGUCCAAAUAGAGGAUAGUUAGUUGAAUCCAUGUGGUCUCUCAUUUCCUGGUUUUGAGAUUGUAGGUCACCCACAUCAUUACGUUUGGCUUUGAUACUAAUUUUUAUGGUCCUUAUUUAGGGUCUAGUUAUGGGAUAGACUGAUAGUAUGAGCUUGUUAAGAGAGAAUUCCACAAUCUCCUUGAGUUUAAAGCACCAAGAGGAAAGAGCUUCAUAACAAAUUUUUCCACAUAUCUUAUUCAGAUUACUAUCAUGUUUUUAUAUCGAAAAACAUAGCUUCACCUAAGAAUAAUAACUUAGCUGGAAGUAAGUAACCCACUUCCUAGAAACUACUUUUGCACUUACCCUCCCAUCCUAGAAACUAUCUUUACACUUAUCCCGAUAACUAGUAUAGCAUUAAAUAAAACAAGAUAUUAAAUAAAAUAAUUACAAUUUUGUUCUAGCAGCCAUGUGUAACUCACUCUAGCAGCCUUGUGUCAAUCAUUUCCAAAAGCCAUGUGGCUCAUAACAUAAACCAUUGCUAGCUUAUUACCAAAAACAUCUAUUCCAGUCUUAACUUUUUAUCCAAGAGAAAAAUCUUAUAUAAAUGUUCAAUUAUAUUGUUAUUUUGAAAAAUUAGCACUAACUAAUCGAUGAAUGAAUGAAUAAGAUGAAUUAUCUGGUAAAUAGCUAGGAGUUGGUUGUAUGAAAGAACUGAGCAGCUUCAUGAAUAUGAUAAUGGUAGGAAAGCUUGUCUUAAAUUGAAGGCAUAUUUGGUUCUUAGUUUGUUUUCGGCCGCAGAUGGUUUAAAUGGAUUAUUGCUUGAAAUUAAAUAGUCUGUUUGCAUUUCAACGUGAGUACUUAUGGCAGAAAUUUCAGUAACUUGGGAUAUUAUUACUUAGAAAUGCAAAUGAGCAGCAUUCUUUCAUGGUAUUCUUUUCCGUAUGCAUUUUUAUUAAUAUAUGCAUUUCUGAUAUGUUAGAAUGGAUUUACUUUUUGGACAUCAAGUUUACAAAUUGUUCAUUCAUCAGCAUUGCAUUUUCUCAUAGGAUUCCUUUUAAUUUAUUGGGACUGUGGUGCAGAGGCAUUUUCUUGACGCGGAUAAUCAUUUAUGCUUCUCUCAUUUGAUUUUGCUGGACUUCAUUCUCCAAGCUCUACUGCAAAAGCUGGACAGGCAAGCACGUAGAACUGCUCCAAGAGCUCCUGAGAAUGCUAGAGGGUUAUAAUAAUACCUUUAGCUGCUGACAUGCAGUGGAUUUAGCAGUUGGUUUCGAGAGGAGUAUCAGACAAGAAAUGAAGAUGAACCAGAACUGCAGUCCAGCAGUCCAAGAGCAGAAGGCUCUCCUUAGAAAAAUUAAAGAAUGAAGCCCCCCACUGUCAUUGUUUUGCUGCAUUUGACAUGUAGUUAUAAUCCAAUAACAAUGAAGGAGAGAGACCUGCUUGGAGAAUAUAAGUUAUUUAUAUUUAAUUAAUAUCAAUAAAAAUAAAUAUUUUAAUUUUUUAUAA